rfam:Camelus ferus unplaced genomic scaffold scaffold445, whole genome shotgun sequence.
GUAUAGCUCAGUGGUAGAGUGCAUGCCUAGCAUGCUUAAGGUCCUGGGUUCAAUCCCCAGUAC